UCCUAAUUCUAAUAGAAUAUUAAAAAUACUCUAAUUAGACCAUAAUAAUGCUAAGCAAGCUUAAUCAAAUUCAAAAAAAUCUCAAAGAAAUUUCAAACAAACAAUAAGAAUUCUUAAAGAAAUAUUAGAAGGAUCACAAAUAUCACUCAAAUACAUCUCAAUUCAAUCUUAAUUUAAUUCUAGUUAAAAUCCUAUUGAACUUCAUUUAGACUUUAGGCCAAAACUAAUUGAAUCUUAAAUCCUAAUAAAAUCCUAAAUCCUAAAUCAAACCCUAAAAAAAUCUUAAACCAAAUUCCAACCAAAUUCUAAACCAAAUCCUAACCAAAACCCUAAACCAAAUCCUAAACCCUAAAUCAAACCCUAAAUCUUAAAUCAAACCCUAAUCAAAUCCUAAACCUUAAAUCAAACCUCAACUAAAUCCUAAAUCCUAAAUCAAAUCCUAAUCAAAUCUUAAACCAAAUCCUAAUCCAAACCCUAAACCCUAAACUAAAUCCUAACCAAA
rnacentral:lncRNA from 1 species